GGUUGGCCUCGUAAAAAGCCGCAAAAAAUAGUCGCAAACGACGAAAACUACGCUUUAGCAGCUUAAUAACCUGCUCUGUGCCCUCUCUCCCUAGCUUCCGCUCUUAAGACGGGGAUCAAAGAGAGGUCAAACCCAAAAGAGAUCGCGUGGAUGCCCUGCCUGGGGUUGAAGCGUUAAAUCUAAUCAGGCUAGUUUGUUAGUGGCGUGUCUGUCCGCAGCUGGCAAGCGAAUGUAAAGACUGACUAAGCAUGUAGUGCCGAGGAUGUAGGAAUUUCGGACGCGGGUUCAACUCCCGCCAGCUCCACCA
rnacentral:tmRNA from 1 species